UACGAAGGGGGCUAGCGUUGCUCGGAAUUACUGGGCGUAAAGGGCGCGUAGGUGGCCUUCUAAGUCGAACGUGAAAUCCCUGGGCUCAACCCAGGAACUGCGUCCGAUACUGGAAGGCUUGAAUCCGGGAGAGGGAUGCGGAAUUCCAGGUGGUAGCGGUGAAAUGCGUAGAUAUCUGGAGGAACACCGGUGGCGAAGGCGGCAUCCUGGACCGGCAUUGACGCUGAGGCGCGAAAGCUAGGGGAGCAAACGGG
rnacentral:rRNA from 1 species